rnacentral:rRNA from 1 species
UUGGGAAUAUUGGACAAUGGGGGAAACCCUGAUCCAGCAAUGCCGCGUGGGUGAUGAAGGCCUUCGGGUUGUAAAGCCCUUUUGGCGGGGACGAUGAUGACGGUACCCGCAGAAUAAGCCCCGGCUAACUUCGUGCCAGCAGCCGCGGUAAUACGAAGGGGGCUAGCGUUGUUCGGAAUUACUGGGCGUAAAGGGCGCGUAGGCGGCUGUGCAAGUCAGAUGUGAAAGCCCUGGGCUCAACCCAGGAUGUGCAUUUGAUACUGCGCGGCUAGAGUGUCGGAGAGGAUGGUGGAAUUCCCAGUGUAGAGGUGAAAUUCGUAGAUAUUGGGAAGAACACCGGUGGCGAAGGCGACCAUCUGGACGACAACUGACGCUGAGGCGCGAAAGCGUGGGGAGCAAACAG